UACAGGGGGUGCAAACGUUGCUCGGAAUUAUUGGGCGUAAAGCGCGCGUAGGCGGCCACUUAAGUCGGAUGUGAAAGCCCCUGGCUCAACUGGGGAAGUGCACCCGAAACUGAAUGGCUUGAGUGCGAAAGAGGGUCGCGGAAUUCCCGGUGUAGAGGUGAAAUUCGUAGAUAUCGGGAGGAACACCGGUGGCGAAGGCGGCGACCUGGGUCGACACUGACGCUGAGGCGCGAAAGCGUGGGUAGCGAACGGG
rnacentral:rRNA from 1 species